rnacentral:tmRNA from 1 species
GGGGACGUUCUGGUAUCGACAGGAUGGUGAACUUGUAAGUAAGCAUGUCGAAACUUGAUGGUUAGUUCCGUUAUCAAAUGGCCAUCGAAAAACAACCGGCGAAAAUAACUACGCCUUGGCUGCCUAAUUUUAGAAAUUAGUAAGCCUUUACACGAAACGCCUGCUAUUUUCAGCUCAGCUGAAAUAGCCUGCACGCCGCCUGAGAGAGCCUGCGUCUAGUGUAUCAUCCAAAAAAUCGGGCUGGUUUUUCUUUGUGGCUCAUAAAGAAAAAUAAGAUUCAGAGCUGGGUCAGAAAAUGUGUCCUUUGUUGUACCUACCUUCUGAUUGAGAUCAAAAACGGCAAAUAAACAUGUAGAAAGCUUACGGGUGCUGUUUUGGACGCGAGUUCGACUCUCGCCGUCUCCAC